rnacentral:lncRNA from 1 species
UACCUAGUUUUCCCUGUAUAUUCCAAAUAUAGACGUCUUGGGAGUUUCGUUGUUUUUAUCUUUAUAGAAAUACAUUCUGUUGAAGGUCAGUCGCUUUGGAAUGGGGUUGUAGAGAGGAGGUAGCGAAGAGGGAAUAAUGAGGAUCCUUCCUCUCCCAACUCCUCAUUAAGGAACUCUGAUCAAGGUGAGUUUUAAAUUCGUUUCCAAAGUUCACUGCAGGUCACAACCAGUGUUUCCGUUAACGAAUUCACGCGGGGGCUGGCAGGUUGUUUGUGCUGCAUCUUUUCUGAGAGAUAACGGCGCCUCCCUGUAGCCUCCGUUCUCAGCUGAUGAGAGAGUUGAUUUCACACCCCGAUAAUUCUUCAAAAUCAGAUCGCUGGACCUGAAACUGACCCUAAAAAGGAUCCAGUGAAGAACUCCAUGAUCCUAGAGCCAAAGCCGCUCAAUGAUCUCUUGGUGAUCACUGGCAUUCAGAUUGACUUCCAGUGCCACACUGCAGAAUUGAACCACCGAGGGAUCUGCUGACUCUUCUAAAAUCACUACAGUGUCACUACCACAGCACUACAGCAUCACUGCCACAACCAAGAAAACCACCACCAUCAGAAAGCUCCUGCCUGCUGCCAGCUCCAGAACCAUGCAGCACCUGCAUCAACACCAGUAAAACAGAUGACUUAUGGCCUGCCUCUCAAGUCUUAAAAAUCCAUUAUGGGUCACUGGAGACUCUGCUAACAACACUAUACAGGAGAACCAAACAACAGUUAAAACUGCAGAAAUGUAGCCUCAUUUCUAGCCUCCAAAUUCCAUGUGACUACAUCUAAUUUGCUAGAUAUAGUUUGUUUAAGCUACAUUUUUUUUUCCAAAUCAUGACUGCCUGAGAACCUGAGAGAUGUAGUGUUUUGUUUUCCUGCCUCUACAGUACAGAAAAGAUCACUAGGAGGAGAGAGAAUGACUGUGGCAUGCCACCUUACUAGAGCCUCUCCAUGUCCUACCUGAGAACUUCUUGUUAAUUGAGAAAACUCUUCUUUAUUGUUUAAGCCAAUAAAUCAAUCUGAC